UAUCGCCAGAAUACAUUAGCAUGGAAUAAUACUAUAGGAUCUCGGUUCUAUUUUGUUGGUUUCUAGAAUUGAGAUAAUGAUUAAUAGGGACAAUUGGGGGCAUUCGUAUCAACACGUUAGAGGUGAAAUUCUUGAAUCGUGUUGCGACGAACUACUGCGAAAGCAUUUGCCAAGGAUGUUUUCAUUGAUCAAGAACGAAAGUAAGGGGAUCGAAGACGAUUAGAUACCGUCGUAGUCUUUACCAUAAACUAUGCCAACUAGAGAUGGGACAUCGUUCACUUAAGACUUGUUCCGCACCUUAUGAGAUAUCAAAGUCUUUGGGUUCCGGGGGGAGUAUGGUCGCAAGUCUGAAACUUAAAGGAAUUGACGGAAGGGCACCACCAGGAGUGGAGCCUGCGGCUUAAUUUGACUCAACACGGGGAAACUCACCAGGUCCAGACAUAAUAAGGAUUGACAGAUUGAUAGCCCUUUCUUGAUUUUAUGGGUGGUGGUGCAUGGCCGUUCUUAGUUCGUGGAGUGAUUUGUCUGCUUAAUUGCGUUAACGAACGAGACCUUAACCUGCUAAAUAGGAGCGCCUAUCUCCGGAUAAGCGCCUUUCCUCUUAGAGGGACUUUAUGCGUUUCAGCAUGAGGAAGUUUGAGGCUAAAACAGGUCUGUGAUGCCCUUAGAUGUUCUGGGCUGCACGCGCGCUGCACUGAUGCGUUCAACGAGUGUACAACCUUGCCCGAUAGGGUUGGGUAAUCUUCUGAACACGCAUCGUGAUGGGGAUAGAUUAUUGCAAUUAUUAAUCUCCAACGAGGAAUUCCUAGUAAUGAUGGUUCAUCAGACCAUCGUGAUUACGUCCCUGCCCUUUGUACACACCGCCCGUCGCUCCUACCGAUUGAGCAAUCCGGUGAAUAUUUCGGACCGAGACCUGUCGGGGCAACUCGUUCAGGAUUUGGAAAGUCAAGUUAACCUUAUUGCUUAGAGGAAGGAGAAGUCGUAACAAGGUUUCCGUAG
rnacentral:rRNA from 1 species